UACAGAGGUCUCAAGCGUUGUUCGGAUUCAUUGGGCGUAAAGGGUGCGUAGGUGGCGCCGUAAGUCAGGUGUGAAAUUUCGGAGCUUAACUCCGAAACUGCAUUUGAUACUGCGGUGCUUGAGGACUGGAGAGGAGACUGGAAUUUACGGUGUAGCAGUGAAAUGCGUAGAGAUCGUAAGGAAGACCAGUGGCGAAAGCGAGUCUCUGGUCGACUCCUGACACUGAGGCACGAAAGCUAGGGGAGCAAACAGG
rnacentral:rRNA from 1 species